rnacentral:rRNA from 1 species
CGAAGCGUGCGAUUGGAUUGCACGUCUAAGCAGUAAGGCUGAGUAUUAGGCAAAUCCGGUACUCAUUAAGGCUGAGCUGUGAUGGGGAGAAGACAUUGUGUCUUCGAGUCGUUGAUUUCACACUGCCGAGAAAAGCCUCUAGAUAGAAAAUAGGUGCCCGUACCGCAAACCGACACAGGUAGUCAAGAUGAGAAUUCUAAGGUGAGCGAGCGAACUCUCGUUAAGGAACUCGGCAAAAUGACCCCGUAACUUCGGGAGAAGGGGUGCUCUUUAGGGUUAACGCCCAGAAGAGCCGCAGUGAAUAGGCCCAAGCGACUGUUUAUCAAAAACACAGGUCUCUGCUAAACCGUAAGGUGAUGUAUAGGGGCUGACGCCUGCCCGGUGCUGGAAGGUUAAGAGGAGUGGUUAGCUUCUGCGAAGCUACGAAUCGAAGCCCCAGUAAACGGCGGCCGUAACUAUAACGGUCCUAAGGUAGCGAAAUUCCUUGUCGGGUAAGUUCCGACCCGCACGAAAGGCGUAACGAUUUGGGCACUGUCUCAACGAGAGACUCGGUGAAAUCAUAGUACCUGUGAAGAUGCAGGUUACCCGCGACAGGACGGAAAGACCCCGUGGAGCUUUACUGUAGCCUGAUAUUGAAAUUCGGCACAGCUUGUACAGGAUAGGUAGGAGCCUUUGAAACGUGAGCGCUAGCUUACGUGGAGGCGCUGGUGGG